UCAAAAAUAAACCAUUGAAUGGAAAUGCGCGGAUCCUUCCCUCGGGUCGGGUCACCGCAUAGAUCUUGGCUUCAAACGGCGCCGUUUUGAGACCAUCAAAUUGGCAUAAAACGACGUCGUUUAUUACUACACCUAUAGACCAAAAAUAACCCUAAAACUAGUAGCCAUUUCAUUUUAAAAAAACAAAACAAAAAAAACCUAAACUAAAACACUCUCCUCUGCGCCGCUCCGCCGUUUGCUCUCCAGGCCCUCCGAUCCCCUCUCAACUUCGAUGACAACGGAGAGAAAAAGGAUGCGGUCACCAGAUGAGGAGCCAGCCUGGCGCUGAGGUGCACGUGUGGCGCAGAUGCAGUGCAUUGCGGGGCGGUUGGAGGCGCGCGGAUGUGCUAGAGUUGCUGACUGCUGUGGCGUCAGAAGAAUCUAGAAACCCUAAAGGUUUCUGGAAAUAUUUCGGCCAGUAUAGCUGGGUCUUGUCUAAGUUUAAUGUUCGGACUAGUGUAAUGGGUCAGAUGUAAAUGGACCUUAAAAUGGACUUUUAAUUGGAUUCUAUUAUUUUUUAUUUUUUA